GUAACUGGCACCUCCAGAGGGGCAGGGGUUCUGGUCCACCAGUGGUGGGAAGGCACCAUCUUAGACGCUGGAUAUUGCUUCAGAUAAGAGCCAUGGUGUUCCUGAACCUGAACAUCAAGGUCAUGGCUUUGUGAACAUAACCCAGGCAGAGUUAUGAGUCUCAUAAGCAAUGUUUGCAUGAAGACAGAGAAGAGAUGGCUCCAGCAGAAGGUAGCCACGUGACAGAAGCACCGCAUCACUCCCAGUGAACAAGGAGAACAAGGAGACCGGGCACCUGCCAUGCCAGGCCCCAUCACAGAUGCCCUCCACCCCAUGGCACA